UGGUCUAGCGGUUAGAACGCUGGCCUUGUAAUCCUGGGGUCCCGGGUUCAAUUCCCGG
rnacentral:tRNA from 1 species